AAAGAUGAGAUCAGAAAAGAGAGAGAAAGACUGAAGCGAGAAAGAAGAGAUGGAAAAGGAGAAGAUAUAAAUGAAUAUGAAGAAAAAGAAAGACGACACAGAAGGGAUGAUGAUGAUGAAAGACGUCGUCACAGAGGGGAUGAGGAUCGAAAGAAACACAGAGAUAGCAGGAGAGAAAAGACGGAGGAGGAAAGAGAAGCCGAGAGAAGAGAGAGAAGGGAAAGAAAAGAAGGGAAAAGCUCUUCCAAGACUGAUGAUAAACGUAAGGAUGAAGAUAAAAGGCGUCAUAGAGAUGACGAUGAACGCAAGGAAAGACGGCACCGAGAUCGAGACGAGGAAAGGCAUCGAGACAGAGACGACAGAGAUCGAGAUGAAGAGAGAGAAAGGAGAAGAAGAGAGAAGGAGGCAGAGAGAGAGAAACGUCAUAGAGACAAAGAUGAAAAGCAUCGGGAAGGAAAGAGUGAGGAUAGAAGAAGAAGGCAUAGAGAUGAGGAUGAUGAUGAUAAGCGAAGAAGACACAGAGAUGAAGAUGGUGAUGAUAAAAGAAGAAGACAUAAAGAGGAGGAUGGAGAUGACAGGAGGAGGAGGCAUAAAGAAGACGAUAGUGAUGAUCGACGCAGGCGGCAUAGGGAUGAAGAGGAUGAAGAUCGAAAGCGAAGACAUAGAAAAGAUGAGGAUGACAGAGAAAGAAGGAAAGACAGACACAGGGAAGAUGAGGAUGAUGAAAGGGAAAGACAGAGGCAAGAGAGAAGAGAGAAAAGGGAAUCAAAAGAAGGGGGUAAAAGUAGACACAGGGAUGAAGAUGAUGAAGAAAGAAGACGUAGGAAAGAGAAGGAAAGAGAAAAGGAAAAACAAAGGGAGAGAGAGAAAGAAAGAGAACGGGAAAAGAAAAAAACAGUCAAAACUAGCAGCAAACAUGCCAAAGAAGCGGAGGAGGAGAAUGGAUAUGAUGAAUAUGAAGAUGAUUUUGAGGACUAUGAAGAUGAUUUCGAAGAUGAGGAAGAUGAAGCACCUGUUGCGAAAGGAAAGGACUCGGAGAUGGAUGAAGUGCUGAAGGCCCUGGAUCAAGAAAAUGAAAGACUGCAACAGGAUUCCAGACAACAGCCCGAAUCACCGAGAGAUCAGAGGGAAUCCAGCUACAACCGCUACAACAACAACUAUGAUGACCAGGACUCAGACUCGGAACCCGCUAGACCAGUGACCAGGGGUCUCAUCAACUUCUCAGGGGCCAGACAGAGGGCCAUGAGUCGAAAGGCUCACAGUAAGACCACCAAGCGCGCCCACGACCUCCUACAGAUGAUAGAGCUGGACGUCUCGUCCUACGACCUGUUUGACCUCCCUCCAGUCAAGGAGUAUGACCUCUACAUCAGAAGCUUCGGGAGGACAGAUACCAAACAGGCUUAUGUCCAGACCAAUGAUGACAACAUAGACAGAGACAUACAGACAGACGAGAUAGAUCUCCGACAGAAGUGGACUCAGCAUCCUCCAGAGGACUUCACAGGAUGUGGAAGGGGAGAUGGUGAGAAGGAUCUUGAUGAGGAGGAAUCAGCUCAACAGAACAAACAGCAAGAUCUGGGUCGCCUCAACUCUUUUAUACAGAAAGCAGGACAGGUGAUAUCCAUUUUGCUGGAUGAAGAGAAAGAUCAACAGAGACAGGAGAAGGCAGAUAACAGGACAAACCUGGCCCUGAGUGAGGGCUACUCCCAGCUCACCUGUCUCUCCAUACUCAAAGGGCGCAGUGUCAAAUUUGCUCAUUUUUCUCCCACCCAGCCAAACUAUUUACUUACUAUAUACAACAAACCUUCUGAGGCAUCAGAGUCAAACCCUGUAGACAGGAAAGGUAUAAUAUGUGUGUGGAACACGAAUGAGCCAUCUUAUCCUCAAAGGAUCCUGGCCUGUGAAUCUCAACCUGUGUGCUGUUGCUUCAGUCCAUACAAGACCACUCUAGUCUUUGCAGGGAUGGUUGAUGGUUCUGUAUGUGCCUGGGAUCUCCGGGAACCCCCGGCUCUACACAAGUCUGUACAUUAUGAAAACUCGGACCAUUUAUUACGUUAUCCUACCUACAACACAGCUGGCAUUGUGGAGGUGGACAAUCAUCACAGCCCAAUCACCACCCUCACCCCGGUCGUGUCCUAUACUGACAGUGACUCAGCAAGUCAAGAUUCUCAUGAAGAUUCAUCGGGUGGACUUACAUUCCAGCUAGUAUCUUGUGAGGAGAUGGGCAUCCUCAAAUUCUGGGUUGUAGCUGAAAUCUCCAGUCCUGAUAUGGCGGGGUCAGAGGUUGACCUUGGACUGUCCCCAGGGGGAAGGAUCAAACUGGUGCUGAGUUCCUCCAUGAAGCUACGAAACCCUCUCAGAGAGAAAACAGAGACCACCAAAGAGAAGCAGGGUUACCUACGUACGUUUGAGUUACAGUUGUCCCCAGGGGAUUUGAAUCAUUACUACGUCGGGACUGAGAAGGGUUUUGUGUACCAUGGGCUGAGAUUUGGAUCCAAAGCUUAUCCCAGAAUGUUCACAGCCCUCAGUGAUGCUCCUGUGGACAUCCGGACGCUCGACUUCUCCCCGUUUUGUCAUCCUUGUUUUCUGGCAACCACAGGAGAUGGCGAUGUUCAUUUAUUCAGCACAAAAACAGACACGGCCCUUGUGUCCUGGCCCGCCCGUGUAUGGGGAACCACGGGGGUGAGGUGUGCCAAGUGGUCCCCGAGUCGCCCCUGUGUGUUCUACGUCCUCGACGACAACAGCCGGCUCUACACGUUUGAUCUGCUAGAGGGCGACUCCAUGCCUGCUAAGAUAGAAACUUUAUCUCCGGAUGCCAAGGUAACCUGUUUAGCUUUCACAUCUGACGUUCGAACAGCGGGUCAAGGAGGCAGAAAUCCACAAAUGUUGAUCUGCAUGGAGUCUGGAGUGACACAGAUCCACACCAUAGCUAAAGAAUUUCGGGAACAACAGACACUGGAGGACGAAUUCCUUCCGUCAUAUCUAGCCAGGUUCUGA
rnacentral:sRNA from 1 species